AUGAAAGAGACAAAAGUGUUUACCUUGGAUUGGAGGUUGAUCGGUUAUAUCACGAUAACAACAAAGGGUGGUGGCGUGAUAGAUCUUGUGUGGACACCGACGGUGAUGAUGGCGUCAGGGUGCGUUGGAUGGCUGCGUAAGGACAUUGUCAGUGAUGGGAUGAUGGCGCGUGGAUCCCGCACAUAUGGAUGGAGUGUAGUCGUGAUCUGCAAUGUGGGGCCGUGUCCGUUGAAGGCUGGAGCUUCUUGGAGGUCUGCACGUUGGAGUCGAGGAGUGCGUUGGCUAGCUUGCUCGAAGGUGUGGUGGUUCGAGGUGUCAGAGGUUUUUUUGGAGAUAGAGAAGAUAACAACUCCAAGUUCAUUUUGUCGGUGA